UACGAAGGGGGCUAGCGUUGCUCGGAAUCACUGGGCGUAAAGCGCACGUAGGCGGCUUUUUAAGUCAGGGGUGAAAUCCUGGAGCUCAACUCCAGAACUACCUUUGAUACUGAGAAGCUGGAGUCCGGGAGAGGUGAGUGGAACUGCGAGUGUAGAGGUGAAAUUCGUAGAUAUUCGCAAGAACACCAGUGGCGAAGGCGGCUCACUGGCCCGGUACUGACGCUGAGGUGCGAAAGCGUGGGGAGCAAACAGG
rnacentral:rRNA from 1 species